UACGUAGGGGCCUAGCGUUGUCCGGAUUUAUUGGGCGUAAAGAGCUCGUAGGCGGUUCGGUAAGUCAGGUGUGAAAUCUCCACGCUCAACGUGGAGGCGCCACCUGAAACUGCCGUGACUCGAGUCCGGUAGGGGAGUGUGGAAUUCCCGGUGUAGCGGUGAAAUGCGCAGAUAUCGGGAGGAACACCAAAGGCGAAGGCAGCGUCCUGGGAAGUGACUGACGCUCAUGUGCGAAAGCUAGGGGAGCGAACGGG
rnacentral:rRNA from 1 species